CAGUGAGCACGAUCUUAUCACUUCUCCGGCACCCUAUCCUCUCCCGAGCGCCCUCUGUUCUCCUUCCCCUCUUUUCUUCUUCCUCGAGCAGAGCCGACCGAGCUCGAGCAGCUGCGCCUGCCGGCCGCAUGCGCCCACCACCAGCCACCAUCCUCAAAUCACCACCACUCGCGCCUUUCUCGCCUCACCCCGCACCUCCGCCGCGCCUCCACGAGCCCGACCGAGCCCUACCCUGAUCGGAAUCGAAGCCGCACGGCCGGCCACCAUGGAAGCUCUGACCGACGCUCCGGGCGCACGUCGAUCCCCUCCCUUCGGCCACUUCUCAGGUGAUUCGAGCCCGCUGUGAGCUCCGCGGUGUCGUCCUCAUCCUCCCAGGCCUCUUCACCGACCUCUACAGGCCACCCCCUCGCCGGAAUCAGCUUGCCCUCACACCUCGAGCUGCUGCAUCGCCGCUGGCGCCGUCCCGACCACCUGGGCCUCAGGUUCUUUCUACAAACCGGUCGCAGUUCACGUGAGGGACGUCGUGCAACAAUUCAACCAAGUCCAGGGGUCUUUUUGCGAAGUUAUAGACUCAGAUGAAUAGUGCCACACUGGACCUUUUUGAGAUUUUAGCUGUAAGCUUUGAAAAUUCUUAAAAAAUAGUAGAAAAAUGUUUAAAAUGCAAAACUUAUUUUGUUAGCUUCAUAUUUUAAUGCUCUAUAUGAUAGAAUACUGAAAUGUGUUGUUUGACCACUUUUUCUAUGCCGUUUUAUUUAUGCUAGAUAAAUGCUUUUAUAGCUUGUUAAUUGCAUAAAUGGAGUUAGGAGUAUGAAAAAAAUAUAAAACCAGUUGGGUUAGCUUUAUUUUGGCAUGUAAAACCUAGUAAAAAUAUUUAACCUGUUGUUUGUUUAAUGUUUUUAUGAUGUAUUGAUUUAAUCAUGAGUAAUGCUUGUUUUAAAUUUUUUAUUUAAUAUUUGCAGUUCUGGAAGUCAAAAAAUUAUGAAAUUUAUGCAGUAGCUUACACUUUACAUGCUUAGUUCACUGUAAAAAUUUCAUGUCCAGAAGCUAUGUGCAUGUUUGUAAAUCUGUUUUUGUUCAGUUUGUCUUGCUAAGGCUAAAAUAAAUAGUUGCUUUGUUCGUAAAUGUUGAUAAAUGUUGAUAAAUUUUUUGUUACACUCUUCACCAAUAUCUUAUCAUGCCAGUUAAUUUUUGUUACUAAAACAUGGCUGCAUGUUAAGUUUUGUAUUUGUUUAGUUUCCAGCUAUAGUUUUCACUUUCCAAAAGCAUUGCUAAGCAUUUCUUUUAUGCAUGAUUCAAUCCAGCAAGUUAUGCCAUUUUUUUUGGGUGAAUCAUGUUAACUUUUGUUGAUUAGAAGGUUUGGCUAAUUCCUGUUUGCUGAAUACUUGCAAUGGUCUAAUUCAAGUUAAUUUGUGUGGCAUGCUUGAUGUGCUUGCCAUCUUCUAUGAGAUGUUUGAGUGAUGGUUAAGUUAAAUAGCUCUAGGUGCUUAUGCUAGUGGGUUGUAUUUUUAUGAAUGCUUUGCAUGUUGCACUUCCAUGCAUUCAUACAUAUGCAUUGUUGCAUCUCAUUUAGGUACAAUAGAUGAACCAUGUGAAGGACGUGCUGUUGGAGCCGAACCCGAAGACCAUGUGAAGUACGAUAGAUGAACCAGCAAAUAUCAUCUAACUAACAAUGAUUUAGCAUUACCCCAGGCAAGCCCCGGAGCAUAACCCUUAAUUUCAGUAUUCAAUGUUUAUCUAAGUAUUUGUGCAUUUACGUUCUAGGAGUUGUAUGAAACCCUAGUAUGCAUGUCUCUCCCUAGGUAUCUAUGAGUCUCUACUGGUAUACUGGUGUCGUUAGAAAUGCUUUGCUAAAUAGGAACUCGGUAGAAGUCGAGUGAUUCCUGUCACUCGCGAGAUAUAGGAUCUUAAUACUUAUGGCAAAGUGGUUUGAGAACAAACCUUUGAGGAAAGAAAAGUGUAGAGCGGGCGGAGAUGAAUUGGAGUAUGGAUCUGGAAGGAGUGUAAAGUAAGCCUCCGCCUGUGUCGAUUGAGGAUCAUACUGUUGUUGGCAGUGUUGACCGAGUUUGCACAGUACUAACCACAUGCCGGAAGUAAGAGGUAGUCGAAACCGGUAAGCUAAUUACCUGAUUUGCAACGAUACUUUGAACUAUGACCUGCUACUCUGGGAGUGGUAUGAUGGCGGGUGAUGGAAUGUAUGUCGCCUUCGGGUUCUCUGAGAGUUCGCCGUGAGGGGCUCAUUCACCCGAGUUUUGGCAGGCGUGGUUCAGACGUCAGGGUAAUGAUGGAAACAGUUGACAUAUGUGGUCCGGCGUGGUUGCACGUGUCGUGUGAGUUAGGUCCACCUUGCAAGGUUAAAUCGGAUCAAUUCGCCAUCUCUCUCGGAUAAGAGAACCUUGGUCACUUUGUCACAUCGUUGUAAAAGUUUGAGAUAAGAAUGGAAAUGUGAGCAUAUGAGAUGUCUGUGGUUUUCUGAAAAGAUAAUGUGAUCAACCAUGCGUGCUUUAGAUGUUCAGGCAAAUCUAGUUGGUACUUGAUAAACUUAAAUUGAGCUAAAAUAUUGAAAAUAAGGAUCCAAUUUUUAGUAGCUUUUUAGCAAAUAAACUCCAGAGAGCCGGAGGCCUUGCAUGUCUAGGAGUCGGCUAAGUAUAUACCAUAGUCCGGUAAGACUUGCUUAUUGCAGGUAGCUGCUGUUGGUUGAAGCUGAUUAGGAUUCACAUCGGUGGGCUCGAUGUGACAUCCUCACAUCUUCGUAGUAAAGUGAUUUUUAAAUCAAACUUCUAUUUAGUUUCCGCUGCAUUUUGAACUCUGAUAUUUUACGUAAACUUGUUUGUAAAAUUUUGCAUUGUAAAUUAAAUUUGAGAAUUUUUUUUGUCUUCUUAUAA